GGCGAUCAGAUACCGCCCUAGUUGUGACCGUAAACGAUGCCAACUAGCGAUCCGCCAGUCGACUCAUCGCUCUGGUGGGGAGCUUCCCGGAAACGAAAGUCUUCCGGUUCCGGGGGAAGUAUGGUUGCAAAGCUGAAACUUAAAGGAAUUGACGGAAGGGCACCACCAGGAGUGGAGCCUGGGGCUUAAUUUGACUCAACACGGGGAAACUCACCCGGCCCGGACACCGUAAGGAUUGACAGAUUGAUAGCUUUUUCAUGAUUCGGUGGAUGGUGGUGCAUGGCCGUUCUUAGUUCGUGGAGCGAUUUGUCUGGUUUAUUCCGAUAACGAGCGAGACUCUGGCCUACUAAAUAGUUGACGCAUUGCCACUGUGCGCACAACUUCUUAGAGGGAUUUUCGGUGUUUUCAACCGCACGAAAUUGAGCAAUAACAGGUCUGUGAUGCCCUUAGAUGUCCGGGGCUGCACGCGCGCUACACUGGCAAACGCAACGUGCCUGUCCUGCCCCGAAAGGAGCGGGUAAACCCCUGAAAUUUUGCCGUGAUUGGGAUCGGACAUUGCAACUAUUGUCCGUGAACGAGGAAAUUCCUUGUAGGGGCGAGUCAUCAACUCGUCCCGAAUACGUUCCUUUUCCCUUUGUAA
rnacentral:rRNA from 1 species